rnacentral:rRNA from 1 species
GACGAACGCUGGCGGCGUGCUUAACACAUGCAAGUCGAACGGAAAGGCCCUGCUUUUGUGGGGUGCUCGAGUGGCGAACGGGUGAGUAACACGUGAGUAACCUGCCCUUGACUUUGGGAUAACUUCAGGAAACUGGGGCUAAUACCGGAUAGGAGCUCCUGCUGCAUGGUGGGGGUUGGAAAGUUUCGGCGGUUGGGGAUGGACUCGCGGCUUAUCAGCUUGUUGGUGGGGUAGUGGCUUACCAAGGCUUUGACGGGUAGCCGGCCUGAGAGGGUGACCGGCCACGUUGGGACUGAGAUACGGCCCAGACUCCUACGGGAGGCAGCGGUGGGGAAUAGUGCACAAUGGGCGGAAGCCUGAUGCAGCAACGCCGCGUGCGGGAUGACGGCCUUCGGGUUGUAAACCGCUUUCGCCUGUGACGAAGCGUGAGUGACGGUAAUGGGUAAAGAAGCACCGGCUAACUACGUG